AUAAUACUCCCUCCGUCCCAAAAUUCUUGUCUUAGAUUUGUCUAGAUACGGAUGUAUUAACACUAAAAUGUAACUAGAUACAUCGGUAUUUGGACAAAAUCUAAGACAAGAGUUUUGGGACAAAGGAAGUAUAAA
rfam:Triticum aestivum genome assembly, contig: Triticum_aestivum_CS42_TGACv1_scaffold_212535_3AS